GGGGUUGGAGUUUAGUUAAAGUAGAAGAAAGGGGAAAAAGUGACAACUGUUGGCUUUUAUGGAGCUUUGAAGUUAUUGUACUUCUCCGAUCGGCUAUUGCUACUCUGCUGCUCUGUUAUACUCAGCAGCUCUGUAAUUGGAAAGAGAUUUAUAAUCACAACUCACAAUAGUACUAGAUGGCGACACUUGGAGAUAUAGGCCUUGCAGCAGCAAUAAAUAUUAUAUCUGCCUUGAUCUUUCUUGUGGCAUUUGCAAUUUUGCGGCUCCAACCAUUCAAUGACAGAGUUUAUUUCCCCAAAUGGUAUCUUAAGGGGCUGAGACACAGUCCCACCCACUCUGGGGCAUUCGUCGCCAAAUUUGUUAAUGUUGAUUGGAGAGCAUAUAUAAGGUUUCUGAACUGGAUACCAGAUGCUCUGAAAAUGCCUGAACCUGAGCUUAUUGACCAUGCAGGGUUGGACUCUGCUGUUUAUUUGCGCAUAUACUUGCUAGGGCUAAAAAUCUUUGUUCCCAUAACGUUGCUUGCAUGGGCUAUCCUGGUACCUGUAAAUUGGACAAAUAGCACUCUGACAAAAUCCGACUUUACUUAUAGUGACAUUGAUAAGCUUUCCAUUUCAAAUGUUCCGCUUGGAUCUCUCAGGUUUUGGACUCAUAUUGUUAUGGCUUAUGCCUUCUCAUUCUGGACCUGCUAUGUCUUAAAAACUGAGUAUGCAAAAGUUGCAGCCAUGAGGUUGCAGUUUGUCGCCUCUGAAAAACGUCGUCCCGACCAAUAUACAGUCCUUGUUAGGAAUGUUCCGCCAGAUGCUGAUGAAUCAGUUAGUGAAUGUGUGGAGCACUUUUUCCUGGUUAACCAUCAAGAUCAUUAUCUCAUGCAUCAGGGUGUUUAUAAUGCCAACAAACUGGCAAAAUUGGUGAAGGAGAAGAAGAGUAAGCAAAAUUGGCUCGACUAUUACCAACUUAAGUACUCUAGGGAUCAAUCAAAACGGCCUAUGAUGAAGACUGGUUUCCUUGGAUGCUUUGGAGCAAAAGUCGACGCAAUUGAGCAUCAGAUUGCUGAAAUUGAAAGAUUGACAAAAGAGAUAGCUGAAGAGAAACAAAGGGUAGAAAAAGACCCAAAGUCUACCAUGCCUGCAUCAUUUGUCUCCUUCAAAUCGCGGUGGGGUGCUGCUGUUUGUGCACAAACACAGCAAUCCAGAAAUCCAACCUUGUGGUUGACAGAAUGGGCUCCAGAGCCACGUGAUGUAUUUUGGGAUAACCUGGCAAUCCCCUAUGUUUCUUUGACAAUUAGGAAGCUCAUCAUUGCUGUUGCCUUCUUUUUUCUGACAUUCUUCUUCAUGAUCCCGAUUGCAUUUGUCCAAACCCUUGCCAGCCUUGAGGGGAUUAGGAAGAAAGCACCAUUUCUGAAAGUUAUUAUUGACGAACCUUUCAUCAAGGCGUUCAUCCAAGGUUUUCUACCUGGGAUUGCUUUGAAGAUCUUUCUCAUAUUUCUGCCAACUAUAUUGAUGAUGAUGUCCAAAUUCGAGGGCUGGCUAAGCAUAUCAGCUCUAGAGAGGAAAUCUGCGUCUAAAUACUACAUCUUCACUAUCGUGAAUGUGUUCCUCGGGAACAUAAUUGCAGGAGCUGCAUUUGAACAACUAAGUACCUUUCUCAAUCAGUCGGCAAACCAAAUCCCUAAAACGAUUGGUGUCGCAGUUCCUAUGAAAGCAUCCUUCUUCAUAACCUACAUAAUGGUUGACGGCUGGGCUGGUAUUGCUGGAGAGAUCCUAAGGCUGAAGCCGCUAAUAUUUUACCACUUGAAGAACUUUUUCUUGGUUAAGACGGAAAAAGAUAGAGAAGAGGCAAUGGAUCCUGGAAGCGUUGGUUUCAACACAGGAGAACCACAGAUACAAUUAUAUUUCUUAUUGGGGCUUGUCUAUGCUGUGGUCACACCAUUUCUGCUUCCGUUCAUAUUGGUCUUCUUUGGCCUUGCAUAUGUAGUAUAUCGUCAUCAGAUUAUAAAUGUUUA
rnacentral:misc_RNA from 1 species